AACGCAUAUUGCGCCUCCUGGUAUUCCGGGAGGCAUGCCUGUUUGAGCGUCAUUACAACCCUCACGCUUAGCGUGGUAUUGGGCUCGCCCGCCUGGGCCUGCCUCAAAAUCAGUGGCGGCGACAUCGAACCCCUAAGCGUAGUAAUACUCGCAGCUUUUGGGAGCCGGUGGUAGCUUGCUAACAACCCCCAAUUUUUAAUGGUUGACCUCAGAUCAGGUAGGGAUACCCGCUGAACUUAA
rnacentral:misc_RNA from 1 species